rnacentral:rRNA from 1 species
CACCCGUUUGAGUGUCGUGAAAAUCUCAACCUUCUCGGUUUCUUCUGGACACCGAAGGAGGCUUGGACUUUGGAGGCCUUUGCUGGCGUCUCUCUCUUUUGAGAGCCAGCUCCUCUUAAAUGAAUUAGCGGGGUCCUCUUUGCUGGUCCUCGACAUGUGAUAAGAUGUUUCCAUGUCUUGGUUUCUGGCUCUGUUGCUUUUGGGACCCGCUUCUAACCGUCUCAACGAGACAAUGUUUGAGCGCGUCUCCCUUCUCGGGAGACCCUCUCGACCUCACGAACCCUUGACCUCAAAUCGGGUGAGACUACCCGCUGAACUUAAGCAUAUCAAUAAGCGGAGG